GGCCAGAGGGUCACGAUCUGGGCCUCUGGCGCUGGAGGGACCCACAAUCCUCCCUCUGACCUGGUGUGGAAGACUCAGCCUUCUUGGGGCACCGGAGAUCUGUUCCAGACCACCCUGAUCAGCGCCAACGGAGAGGAGAUGGCAAUGAGGAAGGUCACACGCACACAGUUUGAAGAAGAAGAUGACGACAUGGUGGCUCACAGCACCUGUGGAGACAGUGAGUACAACCUGCGGAGCCGAACGGUGGUCUGCGG